rnacentral:rRNA from 1 species
UCGCGAAUCAUUCACAAUGGACGCAAGUCUGAUGAUGCCACGCCGCGUGCGGGAUGAAGGCCCUUUGGGUUGUAAACCGCUGUCAAGGGAGGGGAAACACCUAGUGUUAACAGCGCUAGGCUUGACUGCUCCCUAAAGGAAGCCCCGGCAAAACAUGUGCCAGCAGCCGCGGUAAUACAUGUGGGGCAAGCGUUGUUCGGAAUUACUGGGCAUAAAGGGUGCGUAGGCGGUUUGUCAAGUCACUGGUGAAAGUUUGCGGCCCAACCGUAAAAUUGCCUGUGAUACUGGCGAACUUGAGUGCGUGAGGGGUAGGGGAACGAGCAGUGUAGCGGUGAAAUGCGUAGAUAUUGCUCGGAAGGCCGGAGCCGAAGGGGCCCUACUGGUACGUAACUGACGCUGAGGCACGAAAGCGUGGGGAGCAAACAGGAUUAGAUACCCCAGUAGUCCCUGAGCGGGCUGGCAAGGCGCAU